rnacentral:rRNA from 1 species
GACGAACGCUGGCGGCGUGCUUAACACAUGCAAGUCGAACGGAAAGGCCAUGCUUUUGUUGGGUGCUCGAGUGGCGCAGGGGGGAGUAAAACGCGUGUAAACUGCCCUUGACUUUGGGAUAAAUCUAGGAAACUGGGGCUAAUACCGGAUAGGAUCUCCUGCUGCACGGUGGGGGAUGGAAAGAUUCGGUGUUUGUGGAUAGACUCGCGGCUUAUCCGCUUGUUUGUGGGGUAGGGGCUUACCAAGGCUUUGACGGGUAGGCGGCGUGAGAGGGUGGACGGCCACAUUGGGACUGAGAUAGGGCCCAGACUCCUACGGUACGCAGUAGUGGAGAAUAUUGCGCAGUGACCCGAAGCCUGAUACAGAAACGCCGCGUUCGGGAUGACGGCCUUCGGGUUAAGAACCGCUUUCGCCGGUGCCGAAGCGUGAGUGACGGUAAUUAGUAAGGAAGCACCGGCUAACUACGUG